rnacentral:rRNA from 1 species
GACGAACGCUGGCGGCGUGCCUAACACAUGCAAGUCGAACGGAAAUAUGAUUUCGGUUGUAUUUUAGUGGCGAACGGGUGAGUAACGCGUGAGCAACCUGACCUUCAGAGGGGAGUAACACUUGGAAACAGGUGCUAAUACCGCAUAAGACCACGACCUGACAUCAGGAUGAGGUCAAAGGAGCAAUCCGCUGAGGGAGGGGCUCGCGUCCCAUUAGAUAGAUGGCGGGGUAACGGCCCACCAUGUCGACGAUGGGUAGCCGAGCUGAGAGGCUGAUCGGCCACACUGGAACUGAGACACGGUCCAGACUCCUACGGGAGGCAGCAGUGGGGGAAUAUUGGGCAAUGGGCGCAAGCCUGACCCAGCAACGCCGCGUGAGGGAAGAAGGCCU